rnacentral:lncRNA from 1 species
AGUUAAGUUAUCGCAUCUACGUCUGAUAACGCUUGUUUUUUUUGAAAAUCCCCGGGAACAUCCCCCCUCCUCUCUCCCUCUUCCCGGUUUCCCCCAGCCAGAUAUCAUCAACCCCACCCCCAACUCAAGAUGUUCUUCAGAAUAGGUUUUAGGGAAGGGUAAGAGUGAGAAUACGAAUAAAACCACCUCUCAGACAAUUUAGGUUUUCUGACCUGACCAGAAACACAGCUGCAGAAGAGAGAGGUGUUUUUUAUCACAGUCUUUUGGAGACAAGGAAAUUUUAUGAGAGCAAAAACUGAAUGAUAUCAUCUGUAAAAGCUUGCUUAAUCACCUCUCUAACUUAAUCAAGAAUAUACUUG